rnacentral:rRNA from 1 species
GGAGGGUGCAAGCGUUAUCCGGAUUCACUGGGUUUAAAGGGUGCGUAGGAGGGCAGGUAAGUCAGUGGUGAAAUCUCCAAGCUUAACUUGGAAACUGCCGUUGAUACUAUCUGUCUUGAAUAUUGUGGAGGUGAGCGGAAUAUGUCAUGUAGCGGUGAAAUGCUUAGAUAUGACAUAGAACACCAAUUGCGAAGGCAGCUCACUACUCAAUCAUUGACUCUGAGGCACGAAAGCGUGGGGAUCAAACAGGAUUAGAUACCCUGGUAGUCCACGCCCUAAACUAUGGAUACUCGACAUACGCGAUAUACAGUGUGUGUCUGAGCGAAAGCAUUAAGUAUCCCACCUGGGAAGUACGACCGCAAGGUUG